UCACUAUACACCCUGUGAUUGUACUCAGACCAAGCAGCCUGAUUGGAGCCUCAGGAAGUCAAAGAGUGCCCUAUAAUUUCCUGGAAUCACUGUCUAUCUGACCAGGAAGAAGAGGACUUGUCAGACAUUUGACAGGCAGAGUGGAAAUAUAUGAAGAAAUUGAGGCCAACAGGAUUAAGUGAUUUGCCCAGAAUCACACCACGUAUAAGUGUCUGGGAUCACAUUUGAACUCAAUCUUCCUAACUCCAAGCCUGUUACUCUAAAUACUAUGCCACCUCCUAGCUGUCUUGGAGUUGGAUAGAAGAAGACUAAUAAGACUGUUUUGGAACGUGCUCUGAAUUGUCCCAAAAGGUUACUUGAACAGAAAUUGACUCAUGUCUGACAGCAAGUCCCUGACAGACUUGUGACAGCUAAGAGAGAUGCCUUAAUAAAAGCUCACUCCAACAGGGGAAAGAAAUAGGCAUUUAUUAAGUGCCUGAUAUGUGCCAGGAACUGUGAUAAGUGCUUUUUAAAUGUUAUUUCAUCUGACCCUCAUAACAACCAGGAAUAUUAGACACUAUUUUUUGUUUCACUUUACAAUUGAAGAAACUGAGGCAGAGGUUAAAUGACUGAUAUCCACAAAGAGUGGUCCUCUGGUAAGGCCACUGCUUGGAGUCCUUGGUUUUCUUGAUGACUCAGGAAUAUCAAUGGAAUGGAGUGCUGGGAAGGUAUAGAAAAGAGCAAUGGAAGCAAUCCAUCAUCAUCUCUCACUUUUGCUACCUGCCUGACUCAGAUCCCUACAAACUAGAUCUGUUUUCUGAGGACCAUCUUUACUGGAAUUGACAUUACUUACAUACUGGAAUUUAUAUUCCUUGCAUACUGGAAUUUUCUUUCAGUGUUGGAGACCAAAGACUCUUCUUUAAAAACUGGUAAGUAGUUCAUUAAACCCAUUAUUUUAUAGAAAUUAUGAUUAAAUAGAUACUUUAAUUAUAAUGAUGCUUAAUUCCUCCCCAAAGAUUUUAGAAUACCAUAAAUUGUGUAAAGAUAGAAUUGUCAUAUUCAUAAAGUAAAUUGGUUCAUAUUUAAUAUUUCCAUAAACUAAAAUCAUCCAGUUUAUCUUCUGGGUCAUUUUCUCCUGUAAAUGGUUGUUUUCUAUUCUAUUUGAUAGAAUUACUAAUCUAUAUUUAAUAUCAAAGUGACAUUUAAUAUUAUAGUGAUAUUUAAAUGGCAAUAUCACUUCAAGGAGUCAGCACUAGGAGCAGAAUAAUUUAAUUGAAAGGGUGUUGGUUUAGGAAUCUGGAAGAUAUAGAUUCAAAUACUGCCUCAGAAAUUUAACUCUUAGGUGAACUUGGGCAAGUCAUAACCUCUCUUGACCUUAGUUCCUCAUAUCUAAAAGUUUAGAGAGUUGUGAAGAUUAAAUGAGAUAAUAUUUACAAAGUGCUCUUUAAACCUUAAAAUGUUAUAUGAAUACUAGCUAUGUAUGUAUCCUAUUAUAAUAAUCAUUACUAUUACUACUAUUAUUUUUAAUUAUGGCAUAAUAGUAUAGAGUAUUAGAAUUAGUCUGGAUGACUUGAGUUCAAAACCUACCUUAGAUACUUACUGAUUUUUUGAUCCUGGAUAAGUCUCUCUUUUGGCAUUAUUACCUUAUUUAUAAAAUGAAAAAGAGUUUAGACUGGAUGGCCUCUAAGGACCCCACUAACUCAAAAUAUAUUUUUAUAUUUUCCCCAUUUCUUUUUCUUGGGAUCUUGUCUUUUUCUCCUUUUAGUAGUAAUCUUUCAUUUUCCUAUCUAUCUCACAUAGACUUUUCGCUUUUGUAAAUUCUUAUAUUGCUGUAUUCAGUUGACAGUAAUCAGAUGUUUUCUAGGAGAACAAUUCUUGAAAUGCAAAAAAAUGAAAUUGAUGAUAUUUGGUAGAUAUAAUUCAGAUAAAUAUGUCUAUUGGAAAUUCAGAUAAUUGCUCUAUUGGAAAUAUUCUUGAAGUAGCAUGUAGUUCAUAAUGAUCAAAGAUAAUCUACUUUCACCUCAGCUAAGGAGCAUGUGAUACAUGCUACUUGUUAACUCUUUGACCAUGACCAAGUCACAAUCUCUUGAGGCUUCUGUCUCCUCAUUUGGUAGAUGCUCUCUGAGUUCCCUUAGUCAUUGUAAUUGCGUCUGACUCUUCAUGACUCCAUUUGGGAUUUUCUUGGCAAAGAUUUUGGGAUGGUUUGCCAUUGCCUUUUCUGGCUCACUUUACAGAUGAGAAAACUCAAGAAAAUAGAAUUAGGGAUCACACAGAUAAUAAGUAUCUGAGGCGAUAUUUGAACUUAGGACUUUCUGAUUCCUGAUUUGGCUCUCAAUCCACACUACUGACUGGCAGGUCUUUGAUAAUUUUUUCUAUAUUGUCAUUGUUCAACUGUGUCCAGCUCUUCAAGAUCUCCUGGAUCCUACUGUACAGAAGGUUUUCUUUUUUUCCUAUUUAUUUUAUUUAAAAAAAUUUUACAUGCUGAUACAAUUUUAAAUAACAAUUUUCUGGCAUUUUGUGAUCCAUGUUCUUUUCCUCCCUCGUAUCCCUCCCUAAUGAGGUUUUCUUGACAAGGAUAAUGGUAUAGUUGGUUUUUUAAAAAUUAUUUUCUUCUCCAGUGGAUCAAGGCAAAUAAAGGUUCAAUAACUCACACAGCUAGUAACUAUGGUUAAAUCUGAACUUAGGUCUUCCUGAUUCUAGGUCUAGCUCUCUAUUCCCUAAGCCACAUAGUGUGUGUAUGUACAUACACAUAUAUGUAUGUACAUACACAUAUAUGUAUGUGUGUGUAUAUAUAUAAAUGGGAAAAUUUAAUUAUUUAGGAUUUUUACUAUCAUGAUAACUUAUAAUCUUAACCUCUUCUAUCUUUUUUUAAAUAUUAGACAUAAUUUCCACUAUAUGGAAGUGUCCCUUUUGCUUUCUUCACAGGGAUAUGUUCUUUAUACCCCAGAUGGUCUAAGUUGGCCUGUGAAACAAGCAAGAAAAAAUUAAUUCAUACAAUGACCAAGAGAAAUAAUUAUUCCAAGAGAAACUGGACUGUAAAGGACUGGAACACAGGUCCUGUAACUCCUGAUAAUUGCAAGACUUAAGCAGAUAUUUGGCCAUGGAUAAGAGAGUAAAGAAUAGAGAUCUGAGGAAGAAGGCGAAAGAUCAAGGAAUAAGACAGGCUAGAGAUGAACCAGAUCAAGGGAAUGGGGAUCAGUGGGAGCAGACAGGAGAGUGGUCAUUGAAUCACAUUAGGAUCAUACAAAAAGAGGGAAGCAUUCAAGUGAUCUACAGUGGUCAGGAGCAAGAGGUGAGAAUGUUCUAAAAUGUGCUGAAACUUCUGAUGGAGGGUUAUUUUACUAGAUCAUAGAUUAUAAACUCCAUGAAGGCAGAAGAUUGGUAUCAUUGAAUCUUUGUACCCCCCCCCCAAUCUAACAAGGGUUCUAUCUGUGCAGUAAAGACUAAAUCAAUAUUUUUAAAUUGUACUGUAUAUCAAGCUACUAAAGCUCCUGAAGAUUCCUGAUCAAAAGUAGAUAAGGUGGCAAGAUACAUUAUCAAGCAAUUUACAUUUAUUAAGUUCAGUAGAUUAAAUUUUUGGAACUAGAGUCAGGAAGACAUGAACUCAAAUCUAGUCUUCCUAAGUGACUCGAAAAGUCUCUCUACUUUUGCCUCAUUUUCCUUAAUCAUAAAAUAUCGAUACUAAUAGCCUCUAUGUUCCAGGGUUGUAGUAAAAGUCAAAUGAUAUAUUUGUAAGGUGUUUAGCACAGUAUCUGGCAUAUAGUAGGCACUUAAUAAGUAAUUACUGCUCCUAGUACUUUCUGCUUGCUAUGCAAUUAUUUCAAGCACUAAAAUGCAAAUGUGAAAAUUAAAUUAAAUUAAUGGAAUGCAGUUUUGGGGAGCGUGAACAUCAGCACCUGGGAGAUUAAAAACAUCUUCAUGAAGAUGGUGGUGCUUGACCUGAGCCCUGAAAGAAAUUCAAGAGGUAGAGGUAAGAAAAAAGUACAUUCUUGGCAUGGGUGACAGCCAGUCCAAAGGCAUGGAGAAAGGAGAAUCUAAUUUAUGGGACUAAAUUUUACUUCACAUGCUGAAAAUUGGCAAAAAUGGAAAUAUCUAAUGUUAGAGGAUUUGCGAAAUUAUAGGCACACUAAUUCAUGACUGGUGGAGCUGCAAAAUGGCAAGACUAUUUUGGAAAGUGUUUUGGAUUAUGCAUAUAAAGUGACUAAGAUGUCCAUGCUCUUUAAAAAAAAUUCCUUUAUUGUGCUUAUAUACUGCAAGGGAGCCAUAGAAAAAAGUUCCCAUGUAAACUCAAAUAUUUAUGUUUUUUUAUAACAAAGAAUUGGAAAUAAAAUAGAUGUUCUUCAUCAAUUAGAGAAUGGCUAAGCAAAACGUGUUACAUGAAUGUUAUGGAAUAUAAACGAGUUGAAAGAAACAAUGUGAAAAAUGCAGAGGAGGAUGGGAAGAUUUAUGUGAACUGAUAAAGAAGCAAGCAGAUCCAAGAAAACAAUAAAUAUAAAUAUUACAACAAUGGGAAGUCAGUCCAUGAAAAAUGGGAAGUUCAUGAAGAAUAUAACUUAAAGGGGAAAAAAAUGUUUUCCAAUAAGGAAGAAAAUAGAUAAGGUUCUAAAAGAACCCAUUGUGAAUGCGUAGAUAACUCUAUAGCCACGUUAGAUUUAAAAAAUAAUAUUUGAGUUUUGCAUGGCUAAUUUUUCUUCUUUAUAUAGUUAAAUGUUUAUUUCUGUUGAUAUUUUCCAACUUCUCAAUGUUUAGAGUCACUUAUUGAAAAUAGAAGCAAAGGAUUUUACAAGAAUACAAUUCUAAAAGAAAAAUGUCAAAAGUCCCAAAGCUCAGAUGGACUAGAGAUGCUGAAGAAAGCUAAAGACAACAAAAUAAUCUUUAAAGUUAUAUAUUGAAAAGAGAAGUUUCAGACAAAAGAUAAGAUUUCUGCUUGGGGGAAAGGGACAAUAACAAUGGGACAAUAAAGCAAAAUGAUUCUGUUUUCUGUCUCAAGUGAGGUAGCAUGGCAUAUUUAGUAUAUAGUUGACCUCCACGCCAGGAAAAGUUGAAUUUAAGUCCUGCUUCUAAAAUAUAUUGGCUAUGUGACACUGGGGAUGCAUUUAAUAUGUCGGUGCUCUAGGCAAUUCUCUAAGAGUAUAAUUUGCUGAGAAGUUGCUGACCAUCACUUGUAGAGGGAAUUUCUUUAUUUGAGAGUUCCCUUUAUUAAGGGAAAAACUAUUCCAGUCUCUAUUCCCUUUCCCCCAAAGUGAACAGCAUUUAUUUUGGAAGACAGACCAUGUAGGAUGGCUUGUAUGAAGAUAUGGAAAUGGGUAAUAAAGUGUCCUGUGUGGGUAACAAAGAAAAGACCAAUUUGAUUGGAGCACAGAACAGUGGGGCAAGGAGAGGAAGGGUAAUGUAGAAUGAGGCCAAAAGAAAGAUUGGGGUUUUGAAAGGUUUUUCAAACUAAACACAAGAGUUCAUAUUUUGUCCCAGAGGCAAUCGGAAACUAAUUCAGUUAACUGAGCAGAGUCAGACUUUCAUUUAAGGAAAUUAAUUUUAGUGGUAUUGUGGAAAAUGGACUCCCAUUAGGGAGAGACUUGAGGCAAAGAUCAAUUAGAAGACUGUUGCAUUAAUCUAGGCAAGAGGGAUAAAAGCCUGAACUAAAAUGAUCACUGUGUAAAUAGUGAGAAGGUGUCAGAUUCAAGAGAUGUAGAGGUAGAGAUGUCAAAAUUUGGCAACUGAUGGGAUAUGUAUGGAAUGAGGCGAAAACAGCAUCAAUGAUAACAGUUAGUUUACCAGACCACUCCAUCACCCAUGUUUUUAUCUUUGUAUUAACUAUCCCAUAUGUUAUGUCCUUUCCAAUACAAAAGCUGUCCUUUUUUCAAAGAUAGGGACUGGAAUUAUUGAUUCCAUUGAUUUAGGGAACUGUCAUGUAAGGAAAGUCCCUCUACCAAUGAAAAUUGGAAACUUCUCUGUAAAUAACACUCAGAGAAUUACCUAGAGCACUGAGAUAUUAAAUGUUUCCUUGGUGUGACACAGUAAAUAUAUUUCUGAAGCAGGAAUUGAAUCCAGGCUAGGAACUCAGGAGAUUAGAAAAAAAUGUGGUUCUCCCACAGGAAAAAGGGAAAUUUGGGAAAGGGAUAGGUUUAGGGAGAAAAAAUUUGAAUAUGAGAUGAGACCAAGAAUGGAAUAUGACACUUUUUUAUCUUUGUAUCCCAUUGCAGAACACGGUGCAUGGCAUAUAGUUUUAAUUGAGAGAUUAAAAGCCUUAUGCGACAAUUUUUAUUAAAGAGAACCAUAUAUCUAAAACUGUAAGGUCACUCUGUGGUAAUAAAACAUUAGUUUUCAUUUUACAGAUUAAAAGAUUGAGGGUCAGGGAAGCUCAAAGAACUGAGGUGAAGUUAUAUGCUUUAUUUUUAUUUUCUUUUUGUUUGAUUCACCAGAAGAAAAACUCUACUUCAUUUGCUUGUGAAAAUACUGUCUGCUCUAGAAGACUGUUUGCAAGUUUUGUCUGUUGCAAUCUCACGUUUUCAAUCCAGGCUGGGUAAAUAAUUCUCUGAGACUUCAUGGAGAUGAGAAACAAGCUAUAUAGCCAGUGGCUACCAAUAUCCCCUUGGCUGUAUUUCUACAUGUCAAAAUACUGUUCAUCUUAUUUUUCCAGUUGUUUGGUUUCUUGUCUUUCAGAUAUCUUCAAAAUUGGUUCUUCAAUCCUUUCAAAAUGGUGUCAUCUACAAAAUGGUUUUUAUAGUCUAAUAGAAUCACAGAGUCAGAACGUCAUCUAGUUAACCUAUGCCUGAUAAGGAAUCUCCUUUGUAAUAUAAAUGAGAAAUGGGCACCCAGUCUCUACUGGAAGGCCUGGAGAACUUACUACUUUUAGCUUUUGCGUGUAUUUUGUCUAAUUUAGUGAUUCUUCUUGAAUUAAUUUUCUUCAAUGUCAAAUGUUAUUUCUUUAGACUGGCUUCUUCAUUUGUUGCAGAUAGAAAAAUAUGGGCUCCAAGGUUCAUUCCAGUUCUUACACUCUGGGAUUUUGUAAUACUAUGUUGCCAUUUCCUCAUAUAUUAUACACUGAGAGCAUCUAAAACAUCAAAGUUCAAAUUUUGUGAUUUCAUUGCUUUUAAUAAAAAGAACAGAUGCUAGCAAAUCAUCUUCUGAGAAUAAGCUUCAUUUUGAUCCCUACCAAAAUUCUGGGUAAUAAUGAUGUAGUACAAUAUAACAAAAAUAGAAUAAUAUUCUAGAAUUCUGUUGGAAUCAGUCAAGCUUAUUGUUUUAGGUUUCUCUUUUUUCAACAGUGGCACAUUUUUUCCAUUUGUGGUCUUGGAGCAACUGCCCCAUUUUAUGUAACCUUUCAAAGAUCACUGACAGCAGCUUAGAUGUCACAUUGCCAGUUUCUCCAAGCCUGCUGGGAUAUAGUACAUCCAAGCACAGUGAUUUGAUUUCAUUCAAGGACUUGGCUUGUCCCUUACUACCUCCUCUUUUUUCUUGAGUUUUAAACCCCAUAGAUAAUUUCCAUCCUUUCCUUUUUAGUCCUGAGUUCAUUUUCCUGGGCUUAACAAAUAUUUAAAGUAAAAUAACAAAAAUUAAAAUGAUCCAGGUAUUUCUGCCUCCUAUGUAUCAUCCAUUUUCAAUGUUACUGAUAUCGUCUUGAUCACCAUUUUUAUUAACUAAUAACAAUGCUUUGUUUCUCUCUUUAUUUCAAUUUCUUCUCUUCUUUCAUAUAUUAUGAAGCUCGAUCCCUCAAUACUUUCCAAGUAAUCAUCUUAUCUCUUUAUUAAUCUUCUUUCACUCAAUGUAACUAAAAAAAGCCACCCCAUACCCAAUCUGUUUUUCCUCUUAGCAUUCCUUACUAAACACUGCUCUUUCUGAAGGUUAGCCCCCUUGGCACUAUUUGAACAAAAAUACACCACUCUUCUGAAUUAAUUUGCCACUACCUGCCAUCCCUUCCAUCUUCUUUCUAUAUGUCUUUUUAAGAACUAAGUUCCUUUAUUUAUUCCCUGUCCAUCUUCAUGAAAAGCUUUCUUCCCCUUUCAAAAUGUAAUUUCUAAGAAAGUAGUCACACUUUCCUCCAACUUCCUGUCAUUUAGACUUCAACAACCAGAAUGACAACUUGACUUGUUCCCAGUACAUGGAUGAGCACAGAUCAGACCUAUCAGUUUCUUUUGCUAUGCCUUUUCUCUCUCUCAUUCGACAGUGAAUGAAACUUAUUCACACAAGAUAUAGUGUAUUCUUUAUCUCACUGACCAUAUCUAUUUUUACCAGUCCAUCAGAUCUCCGUGCAUGUGACAGUUAAAAAGUAUUAUUUUUUUAAAGCAUUGGUAGUAAGUGGUAUAACUAUAUUUACAUCAUUUCGUAGUUGAAGAAAUUCAGUCUUUAAAAAAAUCCAUUUAGUUCAAUCCCUCCGUUCAUAGCUAAGGAAAUUCAGGCCCUGGGACAUUAAAUAAAUUGCUUAAAGUUACAAAGGUAAUAAACCUCAGAAGCAGCAUAAGAACCCUGGUCUUCUGCUGUCAGAAUCGGUAAUCUCUGUACUCUACCACUUCACCUCCCUGUGUGUAUCUUUUUUUCUCGCUUACCAAAGACUUGUGCAGGCAAAAGUGUCUGAAGACUGCUUUCUCUUGACUGCUGAAUUAAUAAAGGGCUCUCUUUGUUGAUCAAAGUGAAUAUAUUACAGUUAGGCUCGAUGUUCAGAAGUCAUGGGGAUCAGUCUGCAAUCUUGGCAGAGCUGGCCAGUCCCUCAAUAUAUAUAUGUUGUGGCAUGUCCCAGACCAGGACAAAUGGAAUUCUCAAAGCCUAUCCAAGGGAGGCACAGAUUCUAACUUUUAUUUUAACUUAACAUUAUCUUUGAGUGAAUAUAAUUCCCUGGGAGUAUGAGUUUUGCCUUUCCUCUUGUAGAAAGAACUCAUGGAAAUAAUCAAUACUUGUCUUACAAUAAGUAAGUUAAUGCAGCUAUAUUUUUAAGGAAAAAGAGUAAUAAAAACAUAGGGAAGGAGUACAAAUGAAAGAGAAAUGCCAAAUAAACAAAUGAUGGUAAAAUGGAAAAGAGAUAUCAUGAUGAACACAACUCUUAAGAAAUUUAUAUCCCCUAUUUAAUCUGAGUUGUAGUAGUGAAUGUCUUAUGCUGAGAAAUUAAAAUGAGGAAAAUGAAAACUGUGCAGAAAAGAUGAAAAAAAAUAGACAAACAAGAUCUCUGUGUCUGGUUUAAAAAAGCCCAUUGAAAGUUAAUUUAGACUCAGUAUGAGAUGGAAUAUGGAGUAGAGGGGUGGACUUGGGAGUUGGGAAAACCUGGGUUUUAAACACACUUCAGACACUGACUACUUGUGUAAUCCAACCAAGUCAUUUAAUGUCCUUAACUAUCAGUUUCUUCAGGAGGCAGCUAGAUAGUACUGGGUUUAAAGGCAGGAAGACCCGAGUUUUAAGUCCAGCCUCAGACACUUAUAAAUUGAGUGAUCCUGGAGAAGUCACUAAACUUGUUUUUCUUAAUCUGCUGGAGAGGGAAAUGGCAAAACACUCCAGUAUUCUUGCCAAGAAGACCCCAUGAACAGCAUAGUCCAAGGGAUCAUGAAGAGUCAGACAUAACUAAACAACAACAACAAUUUUCUCCUUUAGAAAAAGAAGGGUUUCAAUUUGAUGGCUUCCAUCAAAGUUUAUUACAAGCUAUUAAUUUAUGACCCCAAGAAUAGGAAAGAAGAAUAUUUAAAUGAAUUAUGAUGCUUUUAUUUUGAUCUUAAUACUCAAAAAGUUUGAUUUUGCAGAUAACUAACCAAGGUAAAUGCAGAUGAAUAAUUUAACACAAGAGGAGGAAGUUCAAGACCUUUCUGGGUUGGAAUAUAAACUCAGUUGAACAUUCAAUUGUCCACCGGGCCCUGGUUUCUUUGCCAAUACAAUGAUCUGUCUAUCUUCAGCAUCCACUACUUGCAGUAGAGUUUUCUGGAAGGGAGAAAGGGGCAAGGCUAUGUUUGAUUUUGCCUUUCCUAAUACACUGCAGUUAACUCUAGAAAUGAAUUUGAUUAAACCAUUAAAUAACAGGGACCAUAACACAAUUAUGUUUGACAUCUUCUCGGCAGGAUCCUACCAAAAGGUAGUUAAGAAACACUAAAGUUCACGAAGAGGGUCUUAAUAAAACGAGAAAGCUAACUUUUUCCCUGCGGGCCCUUUCCAGCUAGGAAAUUAAAAUCCCUAGAAUUGGCAAAGAGACUGCUAGAGAAUACCUUAUUAGAGUCAAAGGACAUUUUUGUCAGGAGAAUACCCUCAAUUUUAAGGUCAUAAAUGACACACCAAGUGUGUUAAAUUGCCUUGACAUCAAAUCAUAGAUUGGAAUGAAAUGGAAGCCAGGCAAUAGUUGAUUUGGGGGUGAAAAAAAUACUAUUCAAGAGAAAUGUGAACUUAAGUUGAACUUGGAUUGUGACGGCUGUGCAGAUGAAGGUGUAUUGAAUGUCAGAGUCAAUCAGCUAACUGCACCAUGGGCAGCCCCUUGUAUCUGACAUCUAAAUGUGUCAUCAUACCUAAAGUAUGUCCGUCCUCUUCUGUGAGCAAGGUGACUGUUCUUAUUUAUAGCUGUGUAUUCUUUUACCAGCUCAGCUUUGACCAAAAUUCUGACUAAGCAAGUGCCUUGACCCCAUUUAUAAUAGAUGAUCCUCCCCCCAGCUGCAAAAUAGGUCCACUGGGGACCUCACAAGAAAUAACUUGAAAAAAUGCAAAUAAAAAAGAUAUAUGAAUUUUCAAAAAGAAUCUAGGUAUGAGAAUGGAAGUGUUUGAGCACGUUUCACAUGAGAAAAAAUGUGGACAUCAAAGAGAAAAGGAGAGAAACUGGACAGACUCAUUAAAAUAAAGCCAAAGGAUAAAUUCCUUAGUCACAAGAUCAGUUUCAGGAAACAGAAUAGCUCUCCAAUGCCAUCUAGUUCAACUCAUAACAACAACAACAAAAGAAUCCCCACCUCAACACAGCUUAGAAAUGGUUAUCCAACAUUUGAUAUCUUUAUUUCCCAAGCAUCUCUUCCACUUUUUGAGAGCUCAAAUAAUUAGGACAUUUGGUCAUUAUUAUUUUUUUUUUGUUUUUUAUUUAUUUAUUUUGGUUGAGACUUGAUUGCUAUGUUUCAAGAAAUCUUAUGAUUAAAUUUCAUUAAUAUUAUAUCAAAUUAAUUUCUGUUUCUUCCUUUCUAAUCUUUUUACAGGAAAUUGACAGUUUCACCACCUCCUCCUAAGUACUGGAGAUGGUGAGAAGAGCAAUUUAAAGUCAGACACUGUUGAUAAGGAACCCUGUUCAGGAGAUACAGGGUCUUCAGGGGUCAUAACAUCAGCCAUUGUACUUAUAUGUGUACUUCUUUGCAGACUACGCCCUAGGGUUCACCAGUUUAGUUGAAGCUGGUUGAUGGUCCAAUGGAUUGCUGGGCUUGCAAUCAUAAAGAGUUGAGUUAAAAUCUAGGCUCUGACAUUUUCUACCUAUGUAACCUUGGGAAAAUCACUUAACAUAUGUCAGCCUCAGUUUUUCCAUCUGUAUUCUAAGGGAAUUGGACUAGAUCAACUUUCAGAACAUUUCUGAAUCUAAAAUUCUGAUUCUUGCAAUUGGGAGUACAUUAAAACGGACUUUCAAAAAAGGUUGAUACAUUUAGGUCUUCACUUUUCAUAGAAUUAUGCAUGCAGAUGAUGGAGAAUCAUAAUGUCCAUUUAUUCCUAUGCAUUUUAUAGUCAUUAUUAUUUAUGAUGAAUAGAGAUCUUAGUUGAUAAAAUCAAAGGAUCAUAAUUCUAGAGCUAGAGGAGACCACAGAAUUCAUCAGUACAAUUCUCCAUUUUAUAGAUUAGGAAACUAAAAUAUAAGGGAUCAAAUACUUGUCCAUGGUUGUAAGUAGCAAGUGUCAGAAGUGGAAUUUGAACUUAAGGCUUAGAUUUAAUUUUGAUAGAAUGUGAGCUUCCUGAAGACAUGGAAUAUUUUUUCUUUGUAUCCCCAGCAUCUAGCACAGUACUUCACACACAGUAGGCCCUUAAUAACUGCUUUUUGAUUGCUUGAUUUUUCCACAGUGUCUUGGAGGUUAAAUUUGAGAGAAUUAUCUCAAUAUUGAAAAUUUCCAACCACAAAAAAAUCUAUGCAUUUCUAAUUCUGUCAGACAUUAAACAAGUAUAAUAAAUAGUAGUGUGCUACUUCAAGACUGUCUCAGAUCCUGGCACUGGCACAUUUCACUAAUGAUGUAUUCACAAUUUAAAUAAUAAUUUGGGUUACUGCUGCUGAUGUGACAAUAUCUUCCAAAGUAAAUACUGCACUCCGGAGAGAAAGUCUCAAUUUUAGUUAAAAAAAGAACUAUUAUAAAUAAUUAAUAAUGAGUUCUAGCUAAACAACAACAGGUGUUCAACUAAUCCCAAACAGAAACAGAUGGAAGAACAAAUGUUGAGUAAACACUGAACUACAAGCAGAGCAAUAAACUUUGGUAAAAGGCUUUUCUCUCCCAUUUGCUACCUUUAUCUAAUUGUCAAUCACAGUCAGAAUUUUAUCUGGGGCAAAAUUAAAGGGGAUAACCUUAGUCUUAAUACAAAGUGCCCCAAAAUUCUUAGUGCAUUCUUAAAUUCUUAAAUCUUAAAACUCAAAGAUCUUAAAGUUUAAAAGUACACUAAGGCUUUGGGAAUGGCAUGUAUAUUUUCUAACUUAGAAAUGUGAAUCAUAGGUACUCAGCUUAUUAAGAAUUAUGCAGGAAAAAUGAGAAAGUAACUGGAGAUUUGAUGACAAAAAUAGAGAUAACAACCAUCUAGAAAUUUGACAUUAAAAUACAGAAAUAAAUAUAGAUGCUUAGAAUUGAUGAGGACCUCGUGUGUUAUUUAGUCCAGCCUCCAAUGGAAACAUGAACCUUACCACCACAACUUCUUUUUCAAGUGAUUUAACCAGACUCUGCUUAAAGACCUCCACUGUUGGAAAACUUACUCCAAAGGCAUUUAGAGUCAGCUUGCAUUGAUAGGAAAUUUUACCUUAUAUUAAACUGAAAUCAAUUUUAUUUUAUCUUUCAUCCAAUGUUCUUGGUUCUACCCUCUACAGAUAAGAAUAUUGGGUUUAUUAUUUCUUCCCGAUGUGAGCACUUUAAGUAAUUGAGGGCAAACAUAAGACCACAAAAUUGAAAGAAUUAUUGGUGAUUUUCUAAUGUAACACAUAUAUAGAUGGGAGAAUAUGACAAUAUGAUGAGGAUAAGGAUGAUAAUGGUGAUGGUUGUGGUGAUAGUGGUAACUCUCAUAUAGAUAAUACUUUUAAAUGCAGAAAAUAUUUAAUCUAUAUUAUUUCAUAAAAAAAAAUAAAGAAACUUGUGAGGCUGGUGCUAUUGUUAUCAUCAUUUAACAGAUGAAGUACUGUAAUUUGUCCAAAAAAAUAAAUCAGGUAGUAUUAGGAUAUUAGGUAGGAUUUAAAAUCAGGACUUCCUGAUAAAAAAUCCAGUAUUCUACUCAAUGUGCCACCUAGCUUCCUACAUUGACAAAUGACCAUUUAUCCUACACUUAAAACCUUUCAGUAACUGGGAACUCAUUGCCUUCAAAAGCCACCAAUUCUAUUUUUGGACAACUCUGGCUCAAAAUCUGUGCUAUCACACUGAAAUCUUACAUAAUGGGAGAGGUGUUCUUUGCUGAGUGCAUUUUGCUUGCAGGUGUUAAUCUCACUAAUUUUUCAACUGCCUUUUCCCUGCCUUACUUCAUUUCUCUGAGUUUCAUCGGUUAUUGAUUGAUCUGAUAGAUCCUGAAUCUCUAGCAAUUUCUUGCCAUGUUAUGAACAGCAACUUUUCAAUGCCUUGGUUUUCCCAUUGGCAAAAUGAGGAGUUUACAUUAGAUGACUUCUUCCAUCCCUUCCAGCUCUACUUCUAUGAUUGCUUUAAAUCUACCAGGAUGCUUCCUGCCUCAACCACCUCUAGAUUCUGGCUCCUCUUAGCCAGUCUUGCUGCAAAUAACACUCCAUCAUGGUAUCUCAUCACAUGCACAAUGUCAAGAGAGGAGGGCUCCAAUGAUAUUCUAUGUGUGCUACACGACUAAUUAAAAAGUUCUGUCCCUAGAGAAGUAUGGAAGAGAAAUGCUUACCAUUCAACUAAUACAAAAUAGGAAAGGCAAUGAAAACAGAGAAUUGACGUAAAGAUUGGAUGAUUAAUGACACGAGAGUGGGCCAUAUCAAUGGAAAACAUAGGUCCAAAUAUGAGCCAUUGUUCAUUGCUAAUUGGUAGAAUAUCUCUUGUUUAAGUCCUUAAUAAUAUGUAUGGUCCAGGUACAUUCAGAAAAAUAUUAUCUCUAUUAUAUUAUCACUAUAUUUAAAGGAAUGGUCAUCAUUUUUCUGGGAGAAAAGUAUCAUAAGGAUAAAUGUUGACAACAGCCUUCUAUACAUUCACAGUGAUGUUUAUAUCUUGUUUAGCGGAUCUUCACUGUAAUAUUGCCAGAAAGAAAAAAAAUGUGUGUUUUUAAUAUUACACUCUUACUAUCCCAACUGAUUUUUAAUCAGGAGAACAUGAGACUUAAUGAUGCACAUUUAAUCAACAAUUCAUAAUUUUAUGACAAAUUCCCUAACCACUAGUUUUAACUUGGCAAAUAUCAUAUGAUUACCAUGUCUUGCAGAUGAUGCAGAAAAGAUUUAGUGAAAUACAUAUAUAACGGAAUUAAUAAUACACAUUAAUCAUUUGUUAAUUCAUGCUAAUCAUCAUUUCUCUUUGCCAGCACAAUAUAUGCUCUUCACACACUUGUUGCAAACAAAUUGUUGUUCACAUGAAAUCAAAAAUAACAUCACCACUGGCAAAAUUAAAGGGAAGAAGCAUGCUAACAGUGAAAACCAACAACCAUGAUUUGACUUCUUUUUUCAGGAAAUAAUUUGCAAUUACACACACAUACCCUAGAUGAGAAAAUAUAUGUUAACAUAAUGUUUCAUUAAGAGUAGCAGCCUUGAGAGUUGGGAUAAACUCAUUAAGAAAUAUACUAUAAUUUUACAUCGAGAAUAGCAGAACUGGGGAGAAAGUCAUUAUAUUGCUGCAAAAAUCUUCAGUGUCCUUUUGUAGACUGGAGAUAAGCAAUCACAGAGUCUACCCCAGGCAAAUAUUUCUAAACCUUCCUGUUUGGCCUCAAGUCUUCUUUCCCCAAAUGCAUCUAGAGAGCAAUCAGAGAAAGAUAACCCACUGACAAUCUACCAACAGUCCUUUGAAUCAAAAGUUCUCUGCAGUAUGGAUGAGAAUCGUGUUCUUCAUUCUUAAAAGAACCAAACUACACAGUGGUUGGGUUAGUUAGGUAAUUUUAAAAAACAAAUUGAAUCAUCUUAUGAUUAACCUAGUUUAUGGGCAGAGGAGAAGGUAAAUAUAGAAAUAGGUAUAAAAAUAUUAAUUUAGCAACAUUGUUAUAGUGAUUACGUGGUAGAUAUGCAUCUAUAAUAUGUAUAUGUGUGUAUAUAUGCAUAUAUACAUUCAGGUGUGGGUAUGAAUAUCCAUCCAUAUGAUUUGGCAGUUGUGUGCAGACAAUGCCCAAGAUCCUGACCAAUCAGUGUUGCUAUGUUCUCCUCCAGAUUAAGAUAGUGACUGGUUUCUUUCACAACAAAACAUUUAUUUUCCCUCACACAGAUCCAGCUUAAAUCUCAAUUGAACAAAAAUUUAUAGCAUUAAUUGUUUCAUAUUCAUUUCCAUGAAUAUCUUUUUAAAUGAUUUACAGUUAAAUACUUUUAAGUCAGGAACCUAACUCCAUUUUCAAAAAACAGUUUCAUGAUGAGAACCAUUAAUAAAAAUAUAGAACAAAUUACUAUGUAUAUAAAUUGGGAGUUAAGUGAGUACAGAUUCAGAGAAUUUGACAUCCAAAUUAAGAUACUUGAAGUAAAGAAUAGUUUGAGCAUGUCUCCCAUUUCAUUUUGCAUCUCUGAAGACAAAAACAAGAACGUUGUACACUGAUAUGUAUAUAUAUUUCAAUUGUUAAAGCUAUUCAAAUGAUUCUUUAAAAGUAAAUUUCUUUAAUUUAAUUUAAUUUCUUUAUUUAAAUACAACUAAUGAUUGGGUAUCCCAAAAGCUUAUUUUUUAAUCAAUUGAUUUUAACCUGAAAUCAUACCAAAAUUAUGAUAUUCAGGUGCUCAAGUUUACCUAUUUGAUUUUUCUUAAAUAGCUUCUGAAAUAGAAGGGAAGAAAGUGUUUCCACUCUCCAUACUCAUUUAGCCUCUAUCAAAAUAUUGAAACAGGUUGGGUUUGUUUUCAACAUCAUCCCACCUCCUUCUCAGAACGCCUGUCCCAUCUUGUGUCUCUCAUGCCCUCAGGCCUUCAUGUCCACAGUAUCCUCCUAAUGUCCAAAACCAGGACUGGCAAACUCCAAAGUCCCAAAAUUAUUUAUCUGCCCCAAGAGAUAUUGCCUUAUGUCAGCACAUUCAUUUCAUCACUACAGAUUUCCUAACUGACUAUAAAGAAAAGAGAUAUAUGAUUUAAAAUAUCAGGUUUUUGAAUAACUCAUUGUUUAACUUUGUAAACAUUUCUUAACAUGUUUUGGGGUCACUAUCUACAAAAUGAAGAGGUCAGAUAAGAUGAUCUUUAAGGUCUCUUUCAAGGUCUUAUCAGUUUCAGAAUUGGACAGAUUCCCAGGAAUGGAACCACUGUGUGUGUGUUGUGUUGCAUUCUGUAUUUUGUACAAGAUAAAUGUAUCUGCUCAAGCUAACUAAAAUUUAAGUUAAAAAAUCAAGCCUUGCUAUUAAGAGAUAAUUUUCAAAUAUGAAGUAAGGAAAGUGCUGAUGUUGUUGGUAGUUCAGAUUUGUAUUUGUAAGAAAAAAAUCUUCCAUUAACAUUUAGAUGAGUUGAAGUUCUAACAUUAGAAGAACCCAAAGUUGGGGCAGGUAGGUGGCUCAGUGGAAAGAGAGCCAGGCCUGGAGAUGGGAGGUCCUGGGUUCAAAUAUGGCCUCAAACACUUCCUAGCAGUGUGACCCUGAAUGAGUCACUUAACCUCCAUUGCCCAGCCCUGAUCACUAUUCUACCUUGGAAUUAAUACACAAGAUGGAAGGUAAGGGUUUCAAUUUGUCUUUUUUUUUUUUAAAGAACCCAUGGUCGCCCUUAUUGUACCUUAGGUCUUUUUGUGAGAAUAUAUUGUGGAACUUCCCUCUCCAAAGGGAGAAACACAUUUAAUGAGUUGAACUCUGAGCAUGAAAAAGACUAUUAAUAUAUGACAGCACGAUUCAUGCAUGGAUGAAUUUUAAAUAUAACAAUAAUAAUAAUGAAGAAUCUCAAAGUGAUUGAAACUAAAUGUUAUUUACAUUUUCAGCUUCAAAUUUGGGCUAUCUUACUUCUACACAUUGGUUAGAGUUAUUUUUUCUUGAGAGCUUUACACUCUUAAUUUAUUUAGAUUAAAGUCUGCCUCCCUCAAGUUGCUGGUUUGCUUCAGUCCUGAGCCAGGAUUUUAUUUUGUUAAGGCCACUCACUGCCUCUGUGGACAGAGGUAGACCAGUAAUCCAUCUGGAGGAAGGGCUGGAGCUCUACCCUUCACUUGGGGACCCAGGCCAUAUCACCUGCUUGUGGAGCUGGAUAGGAGGCUAAAGAAGAGUUGAUAAUACUGAAGACAAAGACACAAAAUUCAGAUAUGGCAAACAGAAUUAGAGUCAGGAAACUUUUUUAUUUAACAAGGAAUGACUGGAUCUGAUUUAAAAUUCAGUUUCUUGAGGAUAUACUAUAGUUGCAUAGAUAAAUACAUUUCCUCUCUAUGUCUAUAUUAUGUAAAUAGUAUAUAGAAAAUGUUUAUAUUCAGGCAUCAUUUUAUAUCUUUUGAUAUAUGUGAUGCAUGAUGUGUCCAUGCACACACAUAUAUCUCUCUCUACCUAGCUAUCUAUAGCAAUAGGUAAAUUUUGUGGUUAGUCACCAUUUUGGUAUUUAUUUAUUUUUCUUGGACAAAUGAACUCUGUCCAAGAAAAAUAAAUAAACAAACAAACAAAUAAACAUUUUAGGUUCUCAGGGAAUAGUGAUAGACAGCCCUCAUCUGCUGCCUUGGCUGCAUGCCUAGGUUUAUGGUAACUCAGAAAAGGUAAUUCUAAGUGGGAAAAGUCAGCAGAAAAGGCAGCUUCAACUGGGACAGCACCCUCUGGUGGAGCACCUUGUGCUAUAUUAUUUAUGAUUGGCCUUGGCUAUAUAUUACCAUUCCAAUUUCAUACUGAAGAAACAUACGGUUUUGAAAGUGACAAUAAUUUUCAAGAGUGCCACACCAAGGGGGCAGCUGGGUAGCUCAGUGGAUUGAGAGCCAGGCCUAGAGAUGGGAGGUCCUAGGUUCAAAUCUGGCCUCAGACACUUCUUAGCUGUGUGACCCUGGGCAAGUCACUUGACCCCCAUUGCCUAGCCCUUACUACCCUUCUGCCUUGGAACCAAUACACAGUAUUAAUUUCAAGACGGAAGGUAAAAGUUUAAAAAAAAAAAGAGUGCCACAACAAAACCUCUUAUAAAUGAGGAAUCCAUAUAACAGGACACCAAAUAAUUAUGUUAAAUUUCAAAGUUUUAUCUAUAUUUUUAAAGUAUAUAUAUACAUAAAGAUAGACAUAGAGCUACUUAAUUUUUAUGCAUUUUGGACUAUCCGUUUUCUUUGUUAUGUUAAUAGCCCAAGAGACCAAACUGCCUCCGAAAUAUUUUGUAUGGAUAAAAAUUCUAGCAUUUUUUGACAUCUUUCCUAUUAUUUUUCAUUUUUAAAGUCUAUUCCAAACACAAAGAAAAACUGACAAAUAAAAUAAAGAAAAUUGACAAAUAAAAUGCUAGUCUAUGAAAAUAACAGCUAAGUAGGAGAGAGCUUCAAGGGCAGCUGGCUAUUUUCCACUGUAGUACAAUUGGUACUAAUCAAUAGUUCAUUCAGAAUCAAUUUUCCAUGUGCCCUAUUUAUAGAUCCAUGAACAUUUCAGGACCCAAAUAGUAAUGAUAGAAAGAGAAAUUUUAUUUCUGAUUCCUUUUCAGUUUAUAUUAGUUUGGAAAUGGAAAAAAAAAAACAACUUCUAGGAGCUCCAGGGACAGAAACAGGCAACUGAUUUCUUCUACAUGCUUACAAUCUACAGUUCAAUGAUGAGAAAAGGGGCUUGUAAAAAAAUCAAAUGCCUUAGAGUUUACAGAGUACUGACAGAGAAAGGGGUGGGCUGCUUUUGUUCUCAUGCUUUUGUACCACCAUUUCAAAGCUUAAAAUCAUUAUCUGUGGACUCAGAAAAAAGUUUUUUACAAAUAAAAGAGAGGCAUUUUGAACAUUUAAUCACCAUCCCCCCUAUUGCAAUUUCAUUGGCUAUUCCUUCCUGAGGGGGAAGAGAAAAACUCAUUAAUUUCCAGUUUCACUCUCCAAACUGUAGUAGUCACUAUUGAUGUUACUUCAACUGAAUGUAACUCCAAGUUUUAUGUUUUACUAUUCUACUCAAUCUAAAACUGAGGAAAAAUUGGUCCACAAAUAAAACUCAGCAAACAAGCAAAGCAAGCAAAAAGUUGAUCAUUUUCUUUCUCCUAUGUCCUCUGAAUCUUUAUUGAAAUAUUUUAAACUAAACCAUAGGAAAGUUGCUUAUGGAAGACAUAGAAGAUUCUAGUUCUGCCUUUAUUUGCAUUUUGGAACCAUUUGGCAGUCUGGUGAAGCCUCUGGGUCCUUUUAAAGAAUGUCUUUAAAUACCUAAAAUAAAAACCAAAUUCAUGAAUUAAGAAUCCUAGCUUAAGACCCCCUGUUGUAGAAGGAAAACGUUUGCUACCUGUGUGGAAAAUGGAAAGUUCACGGUGGCAGGUGUACAGAGAGGGAAUCGAAUUCAAGGUUGGAAUGAGGAUAAAAUUACUUGGGACCAGAAGAAUGCUACUGCUCUCUUGUUAGGAAUCCACCAACUAUUUUGCUCCUUUUUUUAUAUAACACCAUCCUACCAAAAAAGUUCGAAGCUUCAUAUGAAUUAUAUAUUCAUAGAUAUACUUUAUGUGCAAAUAUAUUUACUUCUAUAAGUUUCCAAAAAUAUUUAAUCUUAACAAUUCUUUGACACGGAUAAAUGUCUUCUUUAUUUCUGGACCAAAUCGGUAAUUGUGGUACUGUGUGGAAAUUCUGAUCAUCAAAUUCCCCUCUUCCAAUGUAGUCCAGCACCUACAAUUUAUAUUAUUAGAUAAUUGCCUGGGAAACUGAGAUAUUAAGUGAGGUUUUUCGGGUCACAGGCAAGGACUGUGUCAGAAGCAGGAACUUGAAUAUUCUAAAAUUAAGGAUAACUUUCUAUAUGUUAUACUAUGCUGCCUUCCAAAUAGCAUUAUCUUAAUAUUUACAGGUAAGGCUAUUGGAGGCACCUCUAAAGUCUAAUAUCUUCAAAAAUGUCAAUGGAAUCUGGAUCCAAAGUUUAAGGUUCCCUCUAUUAAUUCUUUCCGCAUAAUAAGAUUAUGUAAUUUCCAUAAGGUUGUUGUAUAAUUGAGAUAACUCUAGUAUAUAUCCAGAUGCAGUGGUUUUUUUUUUUCAUUAAAAAUUUAAACAUAUAAACUUGAGAAAGCAGAAUAUAUUCAUAAUCAUGACUAGGUUAACGAGCCAUUUGGGGAAGUCCAUUUUAUAGUAUUUGUUUUUGCCUCUCUGAAACCUGAUCCAAAUGAAUUGACCAAAUGAACCAGUAGGUUAAAAAGAAGUCAACUAUAUAUGAACACCCACCAAAUAAUAACUACCAAAUCUCAAGACUUGUUCCUGUAACACCAAUACUUUCAGCAUAUCCAAGCUCAAUAAUGCUGAAGGAAACAAAAAAAAUUAAUCAUUAGUGAAGAAAACAUAUUUUUCUCUUUCUGUAUCUAAAAUUUUACUCCUUAGAUAUCAACUUCUCAGUUAGUGAUAGGACCCACAGAAAUUACUUUUAUUAGUCUUUCUUUUUCUUCUAUGAAGUCUGAUUAUGGGUCUUUCUUAGUUUUAAUUGUCAUUCUUUCUGUUUCUUUCCCACUACUCUCUUAGAAUCUUCAGUUGCUUCCUCCUUGAAAUGUUUACCUUUCUGUUCAUUUUUUGAGACAGCUUCAGUUCCUUUUUCUUCCUUGCCUUUGGGUUUAGCUGGUGUUUUCUCCACUUUUUUUGCUUUGGCAUCAGCUUGCUUCACCUUCUCUGAUUUUCCACUUUUCACUUCCUUCUUACUCUUUUCUUCAGCUUUUGAGCCCUUGCUCUUCUUCUCAUCUGCAAAAAGCAGAAAAGGUCAUUUAAACUCUCCACAAACUACAUAUCCUCUCCCUCUGGGGCAAUAAAAUAAAGUUUAAAAAAUGAAAGACUAAAAAAAAACUAUUCCUUUUAUAACAGGAAGUUGAAAAGAUAAUUUUAAUUAAAUAUACAAAACAAUUCUAAGCCCUUUAGAAAAUGAAGAUAUAUGUCUACUAGGUCUGUAGCUCAAAGAAAUCAAAGAAAAAAAUAAGGAUAUUUAUAUACAAAAAUAUUUAUAGCAGCUCUUUUUGGAGUGGCAAAUAAUUGGCAACUGAAGGGAUGCCCCAAAUUUGGGCAUGGCUGAACAAGUUGUGGUAUAUGAUUAGAUAAAAUAUUAUUGUGGCAUAAAAAAUAAGUAAGAUGAUUUUGGAAAAACCUGGAAAGAAUCACAUGAACUAAUGCAAAGUGAAGUGAGCAGAACCAGCAGAACAUUGCACACAUUGUACAUAGCAAUAGCAAUAUUAUAAGGAUGAUCAACUCUGAAUGACUUCGUAACUCUCAGUAAUACAAUGGUCCAAGACAAUUCUGCAAGACAUAUGAUGAAAAAUACUAUCCAAUGUCAAAGAAAGAACUGAUGGAGUCUGAAUGCAGAUGAAAACACACUUAAAAAAACUUUAUUAUUUUUGUUAGGGGUUUUGAUCUGAAUUUUUUUUGGAACAGACAACAGAGAAAUGUUUUGCAUAACUGUACAUGUACAAAGUAUAUUAAAUUGCUUGCUUUCUCAAUGAAGGGGAGGGAAAUGAGUGAGGAAAGCCCAAAAUUUUAAAAUAAAUAAAAAUUUGGUUUACAUGUAAUUGAGGGGGAAAAUAAGUAAAAAUUAAACAUUGGACAAAAGGAGAGCAUAAAAAUAAAAUAACAUUCUAGUGAUCUGUAUAUAAUCUAUACUUCUAAUUUUAAGGAAAUAUUUUUAUACAGACAUAUAGUGAGAAAUAAGACUGAGGGCAGCUAAGUGACUCAGUAGCUUGAGAGCCAGGCUUAGAGACAGGAGGUCUUGGUUUCAAAUGUGGCCUCAGACAGUUCCUAACUGUGGUCUUAAGCAAGUCGCUUAACCUCUAUUGUCUAUCCCUUACAACUUUCCUGCCUUGUAACCAAAAGACAGUAUUGAUUCUAAGGUAGAAGGUAAUGGUUUGAAAAAAAAAAGAAAAGAAAAAUAAGACCAAUUAUAAACUACUCAGGUUUGACACAUUCAAUAUCCAAAAUAUACUGACAGAAAACUCUAGACUAAGACUUCAAUUUUUCUAUUUGCUAUUGUCAGCUUCAAGACUUUAUUUUUUUGUCUACUGGUAAGUGAAAUAUUCACUAAUUUCAGAAUAAUAAGUAGGACUGACCAGUCAAUCAUAAGUUUGUUUUUUUCAUAUAAUCUAUGCACAAAUUUAUAUAUGUACAUAUAUACAGUUAUCAUUUAUGUACUAAGGGCUAAAAUGCAUUUUAAAAAUUCAUCAAUCAUGCACAUAAGACAUUACUACUUCUUGAAAUGCACAAAGCAAAUUAAAUUAUUAUCCACUUUAAGACACACUGAAGUUUUAAGAAUUUUUUUUGAAGAAAUAGGAAAAGGAUAUAGGUCCCAGAAAUCUUGUGAUUUCUAUUGGAAAAGCAGUCAUAUGUACUAAGCUUAGGUAGUUUUGUGCAAAAAUAAGUCAACAUUUAAAGAAUUAGCCAGCACAACAUUAAAACUUUUUUCUAAAGACAAUCAUAUGUAAACAUUUACUAUAGUUUCCAGGGAAAAAUUAAUUUGUAAUGUAAAAACCUAGUAAUUGUUACAUUAAUUCUAAUCUUGAUACUGGAAUUACUCACUAGGGAGUAUGUCAGAACAAUGUAAUCUGUUACCAAAACAAUAUGGUGUGUAGAGGCAGCAGGAUCCAAUAAAUAAAACAUAAGAUUCAAAAUCAGAAA